rnacentral:lncRNA from 1 species
CAAAGUGUCCCAAACACUACUUUGAAGCAGGGAUUCAAAACUAAUUACUUGUGAAAGAGAAGAGGAAGAUCAGCCUCCCUCUGUAUACAUUCAGCUGGAAUGUAAGGCAGGCUUCACAGGCCACUGCAAAACAGAGAAUUAUCAAGACAAAGUAAUAAUCUUCUCAGACUUUCAGAGGUGGAAUUGCAGGAAAGAGAGGGUGAGAGACUGAGAGAGCCUCCUUUCUUGUCCUCAAACAACACAUAUCAAUCCUUAAUAAACUGCCAGUCACAAGACAUCUCCUUCGAGUGGAGAAGGAAUCACUUGAGAGCAAGAUACAAAGCAGAAC